GAUGAACGCUGGCGGCGUGCCUAAUACAUGCAAGUCGAACGGACAGGCCCUGCUUUUGUGGCGUGCUCGAGUGGCGAACGGGUGAGUAACACGUGAGUAACCUGCCCUUGACACUGGGAUAACUUCAGGAAACUGGGGCUAAUACCGGAUAGGAGCUCCUGCUGCAUGGUGUGGGAUGGAAAGUUUCGGUGGUGGGGGCUGGACUGGCGGCAUCCCAGCUUGUUUGUGGGGUUGGGGCUUACCAAGGCUUUGACGGGUAGCCCGCCUGAGAGGCUGACCGGCGACACUGGGACUGAGGUACGGCCCAGGCUGCUACGGGAGGCAGCAGUGGGAAAUAUUGCAGAAGGAACGGAAGCCUGAUGCGGCAGCUCCGCGUGCGGGAAGACGGCCUUCGAGGUGAAAACCAGUUUCGCCUGUGACGAAGCGUGAGUGGCGGUAAUGGGUAAAGAAGCCCCGGCUAACUACGUG
rnacentral:rRNA from 1 species